AUUGAACGCUGGCGGCAGGCCUAACACAUGCAAGUCGAACGGUAACAGGGAGAAGCUUGCUUCUUUGCUGACGAGUGGGGGACGGGUGGGUAAUGUCUUGGAAACUGCCUGAUGGAGGGGGUUAACUACUGGAAACGGUUGCUAAUACCGCAUAACGUCCCAAGACGAAAGAGGUUGACCUUCGUGCCUCUUGCCAUCGGAUAUGCCCAGAUGGGAUUAGCUAGUAGGUGGGGUAACGGCCCACCUAGGCGACGAUCCCUAGCUGGUCUGAGAGGAUGACCAGCCACACUGGAACUGAGACACGGUACAGACUCCUAAGGGAGGCAGCAGUGGGGAAUAUUGCACAAUGGGCGAAAGCCUGAUGCAGCCAUGCCGCGUGUAUGAAGAAGGCCUUCGGGUUGUAAAGUACUUUAAGCGGGGAGGAAGGGAGGAAAGUUAAUACCUUUCCUCAUUGACGUUACCAGCAGAAGAAGCACCGGCUAACUCCGUG
rnacentral:rRNA from 1 species